rnacentral:rRNA from 1 species
AUUGAACGCUGGCGGCAUGCCUUACACAUGCAAGUCGAACGGCAGCACGGGUGCUUGCACCUGGUGGCGAGUGGCGAACGGGUGAGUAAUAUAUCGGAACGUACCUUAUUGUGGGGGAUAACGCAGCGAAAGCUGUGCUAAUACCGCAUAAUCCCUAAGGGGGAAAGCGGGGGACCGUAAGGCCUCGCGCAAUUAGAGCGGCCGAUACCUGAUUAGCUAGUUGGUGAGGUAAAGGCUCACUAAGGCAGCGAUCAGUAGCUGGUCUGAGAGGACGAUCAGCCACACUGGGACUGAGACGCGGCCCAGACUCCUACGGGAGGCAGCAGUGGGGAAUUUUGGACAAUGGGGGCAACCCUGAUCCAGCAGUGCCGCGUGAGUGAAGAAGGCCUUCGGGUUGUAAAGCUCUUUUGUCAGGGAAGAAACAGCAGCUCUAACACAGUUUGCGAAUGACGGUACCUGAAGAAUAAGCACCGGCUAACUACGUGCCAGCCGCCGCAGUAA